rnacentral:rRNA from 1 species
AACGAACGCUGGCGGCAUGCCUAACACAUGCAAGUCGAACGAGACCAUCGGGUCAAGUGGCGCACGGGGGCGUAACGCGUGGGAACCUGCCCGUAGGUUCGGAAUAACACCCCGAAAGGGGUGCUAAUACCGGGUAAUGUACGCGGAUCAAAGAUUUAACGUCUGUGGGUGGGCCCGCGUUGGCCUAGCCAGGUGGGAGGGGAAAAGCCUACCAAGGCGACGAUCCAUAGCUGGGCUGAGAGACAGAUCAGCGACACUUGGGCUGAGCCGCGGCCCAGACUCCUGCGGGAUGCAGGAAUGGGUAAUCUUGGCCUAUGGGCUAAAGCCUGAUCCAGCUCUGCCGCGUGAGUGCUGUAGUCCUUAGGGUUGUACAGCUCUUUUACCCGGGAUGGUAAUGACAGUACCGGAAGAAUAAGCACCGGCUAACUCCGUG